UACGUAGGGUGCGAGCGUUGUCCGGAUUUAUUGGGCGUAAAGAGCUUGUAGGCGGCUCGUCACGUCGGGUGUGAAAACUCGCGGCUCAACCGCGAGCCUGCACCCGAUACGGGCGGGCUAGAGUUCGGCAGGGGAGACUGGAAUUCCUGGUGUAGCGGUGGAAUGCGCAGAUAUCAGGAGGAACACCAAUGGCGAAGGCAGCUCGCUGGAACGGUACUGACGCUGAGGCGCGAAAGCGUGGGGAGCGAACAGG
rnacentral:rRNA from 1 species